GUGGUAGCUCAGUGGUAGAGUGCUUGCCUAGCAUGUGUGAGGCACUGGGUUUGAUUCUCAGCACCACA
rnacentral:tRNA from 1 species